rnacentral:snRNA from 2 species
AGCCGUGUGAUGAACACAGAGCGAACUAUUCUUUCGCCUUUUACUAAAGAAUACCGUGUGUUCUUCACUUAAAGCGGCAUACGCCUAUUUUUGGAAGAGCCCUUGAUUAUUGGAGGGCU